GGAAAUGUGUAUGUGGAGGUAGAUGGGUCGAUGAAUUCAUUGUUGCCAUUUAGGCAGAGUGUGCAUAUUAAAGCUGGAAGAGGAGGUCAUGGUCAUGGAAAGAAGCAAUUUGGGGCAAAAGGCGAGGAUGUAGUGGUAAAGGUGCCACCAGGUACUGUCAUUAGGGAGGCUGGAGAGGGUGGAAUUCAAGGGAAUGUACUUCUUGAGUUGUUGCAUCCAGGACAGAAGGCAUUGCUGUUGCCUGGUGGAAGAGGUGGGAGAGGGAAUGCCUCUUUUAAGACAGGAUUGAAUAGGGUGCCCAAGAUUGCAGAGAAUGGAGAAGAAGGUCCAGAGAUGUGGUUAGACUUGGAGCUCAAGUUGGUUGCUGAUGUUGGUAUAGUCGGAGCGCCAAAUGCAGGGAAAAGUACAUUUCUCAGUGUUAUAAGUGCUGCUCAGCCAGCUAUUGCAAAUUACCCCUUUACCACUUUGCUUCCAAAUUUGGGCGUAGUUUCAUUUGAUUAUGAUGCUACUGUGGUCGUUGCUGAUCUGCCUGGUCUACUC
rnacentral:misc_RNA from 1 species